rnacentral:rRNA from 1 species
UACGGAGGGUGCAAGCGUUACUCGGAAUCACUGGGCGUAAAGCGCGCGCAGGCGGCUAGAUAAGUUGGAAGUGAAAUCCUAUGGCUCAACCAUAGAACUGCUUCCAAAACUGUUUAGCUAGAGUCUGGGAGGGGAAGAUGGAAUUAAUAGUGUAGGGGUAAAAUCCGUAGAGAUUACUAGGAAUACCAAAAGCGAAGGCGAUCUUCUGGAACAGUACUGACGCUGAGGCGCGAAAGCGUGGGGAGCAAACAGGAUUAGAUACCCUGGUAGUCCACGCCCUAAACGAUGAAUGUUAGUCGUCGGGACUCUAGUAGUUUCGGUGAUGCAGUUAACACAUUAAACAUUCCGCCUGGGGAGUACGGUCGCAAGAUUAAAACUCAAAGGAAUAGACGGGGACCCGCACAAGUGGUGGAGCAUGUGGUUUAAUUCGAAGAUACGCGAAGAACCUUACCUAGCCUUGACAUAUUUUAGAACUCCGCAGAGAUGUAGAGGUGCCUUCGGGAGCUAAUAUACAGGUGCUGCACGGCUGUCGUCAGCUCGUGUCGUGAGAUGUUGGGUUAAGUCCCGCAACGAGCGCAACCCUCGUUCUUAGUUACUAACGGUUCGGCCGAGGACUCUAAGAAGACUGCCUUCGUAAGGAGGAGGAAGGUGAGGACGACGUCAAGUCAUCAUGGCCCUUACGGCUAGGGCAACACACGUGCUACAAUGGUUAGGACAAUGAGACGCAAUACCGCGAGGUGGAGCAAAUCUAUAAACCUAAUCUCAGUUCGGAUUGUAGUCUGCAACUCGACUACAUGAAGCUGGAAUCACUAGUAAUCGUAGAUCAGCUAUGCUACG